UACGUAGGUGGCAAGCGUUGUCCGGAUUUAUUGGGUUUAAAGGGCGCGUAGGCGGUCAGCACAAGUCAGUUGUGAAAUCUCCGGGCUUAACUCGGAAAGGUCAACUGAUACUGUGCGACUAGAGUGCGGAAGGGGCAACUGGAAUUCUCGGUGUAGCGGUGAAAUGCGUAGAUAUCGAGAGGAACACCUGCGGCGAAGGCGGGUUGCUGGGCUGACACUGACGCUGAUGCGCGAAAGCCAGGGGAGCGAACGGG
rnacentral:rRNA from 1 species